ACACACACACACACACACACUCUAGUACACAGUGUAAACAACACAGUUCACGACCUACACACCAUCCACUCGCAUCCACUACAUACUAUGCAAGAUACACGAAACAGAGUGACCCCUGUCCUAUCAGUAUUCCCCAAUGAAAUAUGACAACAGCUAUUCAUACACGCAAGAUUUACUACAGCCAAUCAGAUGUCACACGAGCCUAAGAACGCGAGCCGCUGAAUGAAACCAAGGCGCAAGGAUUGUUUCAGUCUCUUUGACAACCAUCAUCUGAGCCAGCCACUUGCUGUUUGGAAACUUUAUCAUCAUCGUUAUAACCGUUAACAACAUCAACAUUUUUUGAGCAUCACCGGACAGUGUGGAAGAUCACGACAGUAAGAACAUCAUCAAGAGCCACAUGUUAGCUGACAGCCACGUCGGUAAGACAACUCUUUUAUGUGACAAACGAAAACACUGAUAUUUACCGCCAUCUCCGGCACUGAUGCACUGAUUCUGCUAACAGGCUAACCCCUCAAGAACCACCAGAGGCAUCAACUUCUCACCAUCGUAUCAUCACAUCACACAUCACCAUCUUCAGGAGCGACGGCUAACCCCCGAGAACUGCCAGGCACCAUUCACCAUUCACCGCUGUGUCUAAGUGUACUCACCGGAUUCAUCCCCUUGAGCACACCAUUAGGAGCAACGGUCAGGUUUUUUGGAAGGAUAGAAACCAAAGAAGACGACUGGGCCAGGACUUCACCUGGUCAAGGACACUGAUGGCGAGCCUUUCCCAGAGCCUUUCCCAGAGCGACCACAUAUACCCUUAAGUACCCUAACAAGGAACUUUUCCCCCCCUUUUCCACUUUUUUACCAUUUUUAUUUUGUUUAAGGCCACGUGGACCCUUGUUUAUUUUAAGUGUGCACACUGUUUUAUUUUAUUUGGGUUUUUAUACACUUCAAACAUUUUGUAAACAAUAUACGAGUUUUCACUCAAAAAGGAAUUUCUUGUCUGACUCAUUAUUGUUGCUUAACACUCGCUCCUCUCUCUUACUUAGAUCUUCUGAUCCAGGUCCUAGUAUUAUUGUUCAUUAU